UACGUAGGGUGCGAGCGUUAAUCGGAAUUACUGGGCGUAAAGCGUGCGCAGGCGGUUUGCUAAGACCGAUGUGAAAUCCCCGGGCUUAACCUGGGAACUGCAUUGGUGACUGGCAGGCUAGAGUAUGGCAGAGGGGGGUAGAAUUCCACGUGUAGCAGUGAAAUGCGUAGAGAUGUGGAGGAAUACCGAUGGCGAAGGCAGCCCCCUGGGCCAAUACUGACGCUCAUGCACGAAAGCGUGGGGAGCAAACAGA
rnacentral:rRNA from 1 species